GUGGGUGUAGGUCAGUGGUAGAGCACAUGCAUAGCAUGCAUGAGGUCCUGGGUUCAAUCCCCAGUACUGCCA
rnacentral:tRNA from 1 species